ACCAGACUCCUACGGGAGGCAGCAGUGGGGAAUAUUGCACAAUGGGGGAAACCCUGAUGCAGCGACGCCGCGUGAGCGAUGAAGUAUUUCGGUAUGUAAAGCUCUAUCAGCAGGGAAGAAAAUGACGGUACCUGACUAAGAAGCCCCGGCUAACUACGUGCCAGCAGCCGCGGUAAUACGUAGGGGGCAAGCGUUAUCCGGAUUUACUGGGUGUAAAGGGGGCGCAGACGGCGAUGCAAGCCAGGAGUGAAAGCCCGGGGCCCAACCCCGGGACUGAUCUUGGAACUGCGUGGCUGGAGUGUAGGAGGGGCAGGCGGAAUUCCUGGUGUAGCGGUGAAAUGCGUAGAUAUUAGGAGGAACACCAGUGGCGAAGGCGGCUUACUGGACUGUAACUGACGUUGAGGCUCGAAAGCGUGGGGAGCAAACAGGAUUAGAUACCCCAGUAGUA
rnacentral:rRNA from 1 species